rnacentral:lncRNA from 10 species
CGGGUUGUGAAGGUUACAUGAGUUUAAUGCAGGUAAGGCACUUAGAAUAUGGGCACAGGACAGGUGUUCAGUAAACACGUAUAAAAUGGCUAACUAAAAAAAAAACACGAGGCCAGGUGCAGAGGCUCAUGCCUGUCAUCCCAGCACUUUGGGAGGCUGAAGUGGGGAUCACCUGAGGUCAGGAGUUUGAGACCAGCCUGGCCAACAGAGCAAACCCCGUCACCACUAAAAAUACAAAAAACAACAACAAUAAAAAACUAGCCAGGUGUGGUAGCGCAUGCCUGUAACCCCAACUACUCGGGAGGCGGAGGCAGGAGAAUCGCUUGAACCCGGAAGGUGGAGGCUGCAGUGAGCUCUGAUUGCACCACUGCACUCCAGCCUGGGCGACAGAGGAAGACCCUGUCUCAAAACAAACAAACCCCACAAACAUUGAUUGAACCCCCCAUUGAGGGGAGCAGGCUCAAUGGCAAAGGAAACAGACCGACACUGGCCAAGAAUCACAGAAGCAAAGCACCCGGUUACUCAUG